CUUCCGUAAGGGUGNCCUGCGGAAGGAUCAUUACAGAAUGAAAGUGCUUAACUGCAUUUUUUUACACAUGUGUUUUUCUUUUUUUGAAAACUUUGCUUUGGUGGGCCCACGGCCUGCCAGAGAUUAAACUCAACCAAAUUUUAUUUAAAGUCAACUGAUUAACUAAUAGUCAAAACUUUCAACAACGGAUCUCUUGGUUCUCGCAUCGAUGAAGAACGCAGCGAAAUGCGAUAAGUAAUAUGAAUUGCAGAUAUUCGUGAAUCAUCGAAUCUUUGAACGCACAUUGCGCCCUUUGGUAUUCCAAAGGGCAUGCCUGUUUGAGCGUCAUUUCUCCCUCAAACCUUCGGGUUUGGUGUUGAGCGAUACGCUGGGUUUGCUUGAAAGAAAGGCGGAGUAUAAACUAAUGGAUAGGUUUUUUUCCACUCAUUGGUACAAACUCCAAAAUUCUUCCAAAUUCGACCUCAAAUCAGGUAGGACUACCCGCUGAACUUAAGCAUAUCAAAAGCCGGAGGA
rnacentral:rRNA from 1 species